UGGUGUAAUUUAAUACCUGGCCAGCAGGUGGCGCAUACGCUGUAUCUGCAUGUUACAGAUGAGUGUGGACACUCUGGUCAGUCUCUCCUCUCUGCUGAGACGUUGCCUACAAAUCACGCUGAGAACGCCGGUAUGAAAUUAUGACGUGAAAGUCACAAAUCUAUGAUUAAUUCACCACAUAUUGGCUGUUAAUACGUUCUUUUGUUUUCGUGAACCUGACCGUGAGGAACUGCGUCUGCCUCGUGAGCCCUCUUGUGAUUGCCGAAUGGUUUAUUGCUUGACCAGGACUGGAUCAUUCUGAACCAUCUGAGGGUUCAGUGGCAAGGCCAACCCCUGAGACGAUUGACUAUGGGUACCCCAGAAACACAGUGUGGCCAGCCGAGGACUCCACCCCCAGAGGACAUCCGAGUUAUCAGCGUCCUCCAUAUUCCAGAUAAGAACUGACAUUGAACUACUUGGGUAGUGUUGAACAGUAUGCACACAUCAAAUUGAAAGUGAAAAUGGAAUUGUUCAAUCUCUAGUGUAAGUUCUUUGAGCAUUUUAAACACUUCCUCCCAGAAUAUAUUCAAUUUAGGACAAAACCAAAAUAUGUACCAACAUUCUUCCACUCACUGUGCAAAUGAUUUAAAGUUGCCAGCAUCAUUUAGUUUAUGUAGGUUGGUAAGUCUGUAAUUUGACCUUUUUCUGCACCUUGUGUCUGAUUUAGAGGGCACAAAAUCCAUCAUGAAUUCAAUAUUUGUGAGUGCUUAAAUUGUUUAGGCAGGCUAAAUGUAGAUUUCACUGUCUUGCAGAUUUUUAAUGUGACUCUAGUCUGUUCACCAGUAUUUAUUUCACUUGAGCAGAUUUAUAGGAAUGGCAAGGACAAAUACAAAUGGAGUUGCGAUAGUAUUUUCAAUAUAAACCCUCCUAAUUGUGACACACUGGACCAUUAACAAUCAUGAACCCUAACUUACAUGGGAGAAACAGCUGCUUCACCAAGUUGUGAUCAGUUUCAUUGUUCUUUGUUGUAGCUGCAUCUUCUUUUCUUUGCUGUAUUUUUUCCUCAAAAUCCUUUCAAAAAUCUUCCUGUUCUUAAACUCUUUCUGGGUGCUACUAUCACAGCUCAAAAUGUCUGCUAUCUAUUGUUGUUGUCGGUAUGUCUGUUAUUUGCUUUAUACCAUUUAUUUACUCUGCGUACACUGUAAAAUAUGACAGUAAUGAGAAAUGCAAAGUUAUCUUCAUUAACUUUCAUGAGGGCUGUAUUUUAGAGAUAACGUAUACAAAUCGCUCACCUACAUGUUAACUGUGCUGUUUUGAAUUAAAGCAAGUUCAGAAUACGCA